rnacentral:rRNA from 1 species
GAUGAACGCUGGCGGCGUGCCUAAUACAUGCAAGUCGAGCGAACAGACGAUGAGCGUUCUCCUCUGACGUUAGCGGCGGACGGAUGAGUAACACAUGCAUAACCUACCUAUAAGACUGGGAUGACUUCGGGAAACCACAUCUGAUACCGUCGAAUAUAUUUAACCGCAUGGAUCAAUAGUUAUAGACAGUUUUCCUGUCACUUAUAGAUGUAGCCGCGCCGCAUUAGCUAGUUGGCAAGGUAACGGCCUACCAAGGCAACGAUCCGUAGCUGGUCUGAGAGGAUGAUCAGCCACACUGGAACUGAGACACGGUCCAGACUCCUACGGGAGGCAGCAGUGGGGAAUAUUGGACAAUGGGCGCAAGCCUGAUCCAGCCAUACCGCGUGAGUGAAGAAGGCCUUCGGGUUGUAAAGCCCUUUUGUUGGGAAAGAAAAGCAGCAGGUUAAUACCCCGCUGUUCUGACGGUACCCAAAGAAUAAGCACCGGCUAACUUCGUG